AUGGAGAGCGCAACAGCAACACCAUCGUCGGCCAUCGCGACAGGGAACGAAUCGUCGUGCUCGUCGCCAAGAGCCGUGAUCGACGUCGACGGGAUCAUCAAGGGUUUGAACUGCGCCAACACCGAAUGCCGGGAUAAGCUGGAGGCGAUGGCCGCCACAUGCUGGGUGCAGGAACCGCCGCCGGACGCCACGGCGUGCGCCAGCGCGCGGGAGGCGCUGGUCGAUUGCCUAUCCAAAGCAUCGGCUCGCGACACGGAGGAGCAGAAGGAGAACUCGAGCUCAUCGAUUGUGAUCGACGCCGGCAUCACUAAUUAG
rnacentral:rRNA from 1 species